UCUUCAGCGCCCCUCCUUCUCAAAUUUGACCGUUCCAACUUCCUUCAUCACAAUUUAAUAGGGGUGAGCAUGGGGCGGGGGGCGGUUUUCCCCCCUUUUUGCCCCCGCCCCGCACCCUUGCGGGUUUAGGAAAUGGCACCCGUAAACCGCAUAAAAUCAGUGACAUCCGUGCGGGGCGGGGGAUGCGGGGUUUGCAGGGAGGGACGGGUUUUUUGGUGAAGAAGAUGCUGUGUCGUUCCAUCAACAUAGGUACGUGAAGAAGAUGAUCAAGAGCGGUGCUGUGUGCGCCGUGCGGGGUGAACACUGAAGAACAAGGGGAAGGGUUUACAGUAACACCAAAAAAGAAAAAUCUAUGUAAAGUACGGAUUCUUCAAUCCAUCAUAGAAAAUGAGCUCCGUGUACAAGCACCGUCUAUGAGUAAUGGCUCUAGCAAGAGAUAUAAGAUUUCCAGAAAGUUUUUUGAUGACUGCAAUGGCGUUGAUCAUGCCUCUGUUCCGAGAAAGCUACGGUCAGGUUCAUGGAGGCUCAAGAGGUAUUGGUACCUUUUCAAUUCAGAUAGCUAAAUACCAAGGAGGCAAGGAGCAAGAGUGUUUGUCACAGCAGGGAGCGAGGAAAAAUUAGCUUUUUGCAAGAAACUUGGAGCUGAUGUGUGCAUCAAUUACAAGACACAGGAUUUUGUUAAACGGGUAGACAAGGCAUUGAUGUUAUUCUGGAUCCAAUGGGAGCAUCCUGCUUGAUGCAAAACAUUGAGAACUUAAAUGUUGAUGGUAGGCUUUUUAUUAUUGACACUAUGGGUGGUUCAGAUGCAAAAAUCGAUUUCCGUGUUCUUCUUGCAAGGCGCCUCACAGUGCAAUAAGCUAUAUAAACCCAGCUGUAUAAUAAAAGACGCGAGAUCUGCUAUUGGUACAUGGACAGUUCCCAUUUUUAAUGCGGCUGGGUUGCGACACAGAAGUGCGGAAAACAAAGCUGUGAUUGUUAAUCAAGUUGAGAAGAUUGUUUGGCCUGCAAUUGUGGCGGGCAAGGUGAAGCCAGUGGUGCACAAGUCUUUUCCAUUUUCUGAAG